AGCGAACGCUGGCGGCAGGCUUAACACAUGCAAGUCGAACGGGUGUAGCAAUACAUCAGUGGCAGACGGGUGAGUAACACGUGGGAACCUUCCUAGCGGUACGGAACAACUCAGGGAAACUUGAGCUAAUACCGUAUACGUCCGUGAGGAGAAAGAUUUAUCGCCCUUAGACGGGCCCGCGUCGGAUUAGCUAGUUGGUGGGGUAACGGCCUACCAAGGCGACGAUCCGUAGCUGAUCUUAGAGGAUGAUCAGCCACACUGGGACUGAGACACGGCCCAGACUCCUACGGGAGGCAGCAGUGGGGAAUCUUGGACAAUGGGCGCAAGCCUGAUCCAGCCAUGCCGCGUGAGUGAAGAAGGUCUUCGGAUUGUAAAGCUCUUUUGCCAGGGACGAUAAUGACGGUACCUGGAGAAUAAGCCCCGGCAAACUUCGUGCCAGCCGCCGCCGUAAAAC
rnacentral:rRNA from 1 species